rnacentral:rRNA from 1 species
AUUGAACGCUGGCGGCAGGCCUAACACAUGCAAGUCGAACGGUAACAGGAAGAAGCUUGCUUCUUUGCUGACGAGUGGCGGACGGGUGAGUAAUGUCUGGGAAACUGCCUGAUGGAGGGGGAUAACUACUGGAAACGGUAGCUAAUACCGCAUAACGUCGCAAGACCAAAGAGGGGGACCUUCGGGCCUCUUGCCAUCGGAUGUUCCCAGAUGGGAUUAGCUAGUAGGUGGGGUAACGGCUCACCUAGGCGACGAUCCCUAGCUGGUCUGAGAGGAUGACCAGCCACACUGGAACUGAGACACGGUCCAGACUCCUACGGGAGGCAGCAGUGGGGAAUAUUGCACAAUGGGCGCAAGCCUGAUGCAGCCAUGCCGCGUGUAUGAAGAAGGCCUUCGGGUUGUAAAGUACUUUCAGCGGGGAGGAAGGGAGUAAAGUUAAUACCUUUGCUCAUUGACGUUACCCGCAGAAGAAGCACCGGCUAACUCCGU